rnacentral:rRNA from 1 species
AUUGAACGCUGGCGGCAGGCCUAACACAUGCAAGUCGAGCGGGGUUUUCGGACCUAGCGGCGGACGGGUGAGUAAUGCGUAGGAAGCUACCCGAUAGAGGGGGAUACCAGUUGGAAACGACUGUUAAUACCGCAUAAUGUCUACGGACCAAAGUGUGGGACCUUCGGGCCACAUGCUAUCGGAUGCGCCUACGUGGGAUUAGCUAGUUGGUGAGGUAAUGGCUCACCAAGGGGAAGAUCCCUAGCUGGUUUGAGAGGCUGAUACGCCACACUGGAACUGAGACACGGUCCAGACUCCUGCGGGAGGCAGCAGUGGGGAAUAUUGGACAAGGGGCGCAAGCCUGGUCCAGCCAUGCCGCGUGUGUGAAGAAGGCCUUCGGGUUGUAAAGCACUUUCAGUAGGGAGGAAGCGUUGUGUGUUAAUAGUACACAGCGUUGACGUUACCUACAGAAGAAGCACCGGCUAACUCUGUGCCAGCAGCCGCGGUAAUAC